GCAGCAGGGUGAAACUGACACA
rnacentral:miRNA from 9 species